AUAUAGUAUUCCCACUAAUCCAACCUAAUUAGCACGAAACAGCCAAAUACGAUCAAAAAAUGAAAGUGCAAGAAAUUAGACAUGGGCAAUGUAAGUUCUGCCAUAGUUCAAAUAUUAUAUUUAUGAUGAUUACAAGGUAAAGCAUCAUCAUAAGUACGAUUAUACAAAUGUGAGAAAAAGCAAGAAAAAGAAAAAUGGGAGCUGAUAUCUUCUCUGCAUCGCUGCUAGCAUGGUGGCUUCUCUACUUACUAUUGAUGGAGUCCUCACCGAUCC
rnacentral:lncRNA from 1 species